rnacentral:pre_miRNA from 1 species
CUAGUACUCCCUCCGUCCGGAAAUAGUUGUCAUCAAAAUGGAUAAAAGGGGAUGUAUCUAGAUGUAUUUUAGUUCUAGAUACAUCCCCUUUUAUUCAUUUUGAUGACAAGUAUUUUCGGACGGAGGGAGUAGUAU